AAAAACUCCAGCAACACGUGUUACCGUGAAUUUCGGGUCGUGCGUAAAAAAAAUUGAUUUGCGGUGGUUGGGCAUUGACGUUUUACGAAAAACACUGAACAGAUUUUUGUAAAAGCGAACGCGGACCUCGGAUGGCGAGUGUCUUAGGGUUCGGCUAAAUAAGUGAAUAGCCCUAUUCGAUCGCACCACAGAAAAAGUCGACAAAAAUCGGCGGCGGCGUCUGAUCGAAUUCGUUUCAAAUGCUGACGACUCUCGGAGAUUAUAAAGCGACGGAGUCCAAAGUCCGACCUGGGAGUGGCAAAGAAUUCCCGGCCUGAAAAACCUUUUAGCGCCACAUCACAGUUACAAUGGUGUCGGCGAAAAUGAAGGUCGUGUACAAAAACAGCACAGUCUUCAAUGUGUGCGUCCCAAAGCAGCACACGUCGAAAAGGCGCAAUGCGCCAAAGAAACGGAAAAAUAUGAAAAAGCGCAAGGGUCCGAAACUGUGCUGGAGGUGCAAGAGUAGUGCGCACCUCAAUGUCGAAUGCCCGAAACGUAAAACAGCAGCAACACAACAACCAUCACCACCAAUACCCCAAUCGACGUCGCCAACAACGGUGACCCAAACGCCGACGGAAUUGGCG